ACAUCCAAGAUCAACAUUUCAGUCCUUCAAGGACUUUCCUCAGGAUCAAAGACAUGAAAAAAUCUCUUUGAUCCUGAGGAAAGUCCUUGAAGGACUGAAACGUUGAUCUUGGAUGUUUUAACU